rnacentral:ncRNA from 1 species
GCCUUAAGAUGAGAUAUCCCCGGGGCUUCGAGCCCCUUGAAGGGUCGUUCAAGACCAGGACGUUGAUAGGUCAGGUGUGUAAGCGCAGUAAUGUGCUCAGCUAACUGAUACUAAUUGCCCGUAAGGCUUGAUCCU